ACCGCGCGAAGCUUCCGACUCGCAGCCACCGCGCGCCUUGCGCAUGCGCGCUGCGGGGUGCGCGCCGAGGGCGUCUCCCCUCCCGGGGAUGCUCCGCUCCGGGUUUUCCUAGAGACCUGGGUCUGGAGGGGGUCGGGAAACCUGUGGGUCGGCCGCUGGGCUGUCCCCAGACUCCGGCCCGGACUUCGGGUAGCGUCGGGCUUUUUUGAGCCAGGGAGUCUCUGAAGGGGCUCAAGGCAAAGUUGAGGCGGCCUGAGGGGAGGAGGACAACUUUGAUUUUUAGUUUCACUCAACUCGCUGUCUUCUCACCUCCCUUCCCCACAACAACUUUCUCUUCCGGGGUCAGAAAGGGGCACCCCAUGCGGGCAGUGGGCGCCGCGAGGUGAGGCGGUCGGGUGGCUCACCUGCCGCUGAGGCACUCGUGUACUCGCGGCUCACAGCAGCCCCAGAGGGGCGAGCGGGCCACGUCCCCACCCGGGGCUCGGGCACCGCCUGCAGACUCCGCGGCCCGGGGAGCCGGUCUUCCGCAACCUUGGUUUUGUUCGUAUGCACAACACCAGGAAAUCGCCCUGUCCAUGCCACCAGGAGCGUGGGAGUCAGAGAGUGCGAUUGUCCGCCAGGAGCCCACGUGCGGAAACGCGCCGCCGAAGGUGAGGCUGUGAGCCGAGGUCAGCCCAGCCGGACGUUGGCGCCUGGCGACUCUCCUGGGCUGGGGCGGAGGGAGAGGAUGCCGAGUGAGCAUCCUCCACCCGGCUUCUGCCUUUCUGCGAUGACAGCCGUCCCUUACAAGGGCAAUAGGCAGCCCUAGGAGUCGCUGGGGAGGACCUGGCAAGCUCGCUACUACCAUUCUCUGGCCCCGGACCGGAACCCCGAACUGCCCUUAUUCUGUAACCGUCUGCACCACAAUCCCCAUCUCCGAAUAACCAAACUCGCUUCUUCCCAAAGGGUUACCAGUCAAGGCCAGUCGCAUGAAUGCAUGGUUUUGGGGUGGGGGUGGGGAGGUCUCCUCCGACUCCCAGCCCGGCUAGCCCUUGUCCUAAAGUAUACUCAAAGUUCCACCUGUGGCCCCUGCCGCGUCACCAGGCCGGCUCUCUCACACUCGCUCAGCCCCAGAGCUGCUAUAGCUAAAAUCUGGAGCCAGGGAAUUCCCAAUUCUGCAGAAGACUGAAAACGCCGAGCAUGCUCAAUGGCCAAGUUUGUCCUGAAACUAGUUUGCAAACUUUCCUGUCAGUUCGGCGAUGAAGCGGUUUAGGAGGCAACGCUGAAUCCUUUGGAAUGUACUAGGAGCGUGCCUUUCUUCCCGACGGGCCUCUGCAUCAGCGUCAUGGUCUUCUCCAUUUAAACAGGAACAUAUAGGGUGAAGCCUAGAGGAAGCUCCCUAGCAGCCUUUCCUUGGGUUGUGGCAAUGCUUUCCAUUUGUAUAAUGCUUUAAAGUUUAAAAGAACACGGUUGCAUGCAAUACCUCACUUGAUCAAAAGAAUUCAGUGAGUCUCUACCGUGGCUCUUCAACAAAAUAGCAUUGGAAGUCAAAAGAUUCACCCCUAUUCUGACUCGGCUUCUCACGUCCAACCAGAGCAGAUGAGUAUAAGGUCCCUAACAACUGUAAAAGCGCCAUAAUUUUUCCUCUUCUUCAAAAUGUCCUCCUAAGAAUACCGUUAGCAUAAAUAAAUGGUGGAAAUUCCGCCAUCAUAAGUUAUCCUAUCAGGUUCUUGUUUCAUGUUUUUUUUUUUUCUUUUUUAAGAUAUUUGUUUGAAAGCCAGAGUUACAUAGAAGGAGAGACAGAGAGAGAUCUUCCAUCUACUGGUUCACUCCCCAGAUGGCUGCAACAGCCGGACUGGGCUAGGCCAAAGCCAUGAGCCAGAGGCUUCAUCUGGGUCUCCCAUGCGGAUGGCAAGGGCCGAACACUUGGGUCAUCUUUCACUGCUUUUCUCAGGCCAUUAGCAGGGAACUGGAUUGGAAGUGGAGCAGCCAAGAUUCAAACCAUUGCCCAUAUGGGGUGCUGACGUCACAGUGAGUGGCUCUACCCAUUACACUACAAUGUCAGUCCCAGGCUCUUGGUUUUGUGAACCUCCAUUUUUCCAUUAUCGCUUUUUAUUUCCCACUUCCCAAAGUAACUAUCAACAUGUUACCCAGUUAGUAGUCUCUCCUACCCAGAGCUCCUUAUCCUCCUUUCUUUAAAUAUUCAUCUAUGGGGCCAGCGCUGUGGCAUAGUGCAUAAAACCUCCGCCUGAAGUACAUGGGUGCCGGUUUGAGUCCUGGCUACUCCACUUCCAAUACAACUCUCUGCUAUGGCUAAGGAAAGCAAUAGAAGAUGGCCCAAGUCCUUGGACCCCUGAACCCAAGUGAGGGACUGAAGGAGGCCUUUGGCUCCUGGCUUCAGAUCGGCGCAGCUCCUGCCGUUGUGGCCAUUUGGGGAGUGAACCAAUGGAUGGAAGAUCUCUCUCUCUUUCUCUCUUGGCCUCUGCCUCUCUAACUCUGCCUUUCAAAUAAUAAAUAAAUAAAUCUUAAAAAAAUUCAUCUGUCUCUUUCUCCCUCUUUACUUGGAAAAAAUAAUGCAAAAGCAUAUUUGUUAAGAGUGGUUGGCAGUUAUAGACAACACAACAAAUAAAUAAUUUCUCUAAUUUAAUAGGCCCUCUCAGUAGUUCAUAAAAACGAAAGAACAUGAAAUGUCAGAUUCCACUGUUAGACCUUUGAAUCUCAAAGCAGGCAAUAUUUGUAUGAAACAUAUGUUUUAAUAUUUAUACAUUAAAGUUUUAAUAUUUCUAAUCAUAUUUAACAUCUAUGAUGUUUUACCACUUACACAAACUAUAGUAUAUAUCAUCUUUGUUUUAAAUCUGAAUGGGUAUAAAUUUAUUUGAUCCAUUUCAUCCCCUCUUGGAAGGCUAAUGUGACUAGUCAUUGCCAUAACUAAAGGUGACCAGCAGGAGAAAGACCAAGAAGACAAGACUGUCCAUGGCAGGACACUCUCUGGAGGUGGCUGAAGCACACUGUGACUUAGUUAAGAAUAAUAAAUAAGUUGCCCUCCAAGUGUGAGCUAGGAGUAGUGUUUGUGUUUCCCCAUGACUAGCUACCUGAUCUUUGGCACUCCCAGAGGAAGGAAAUUGGGUUGUGUGCAUCUGUAGACCAAAGAGAAGGAAGUGGAAAAUGUACCAAGAGGACAGCCAAAGGGGAAAUGGUUUUAAAGAAAAAACAAACUGAACCUGGAGGAAAAAUAUAACUACAUAGAAUGGGAAUGGAAUGCAGAUGAUGUGAUAACCUGUAAGACUAUGAAAAAUAAGUCAUUAUUAUUAUUUUGCCGAUAGUGUUGAAGCUCUAUGGUAGAAGCCCCAAACCGACUUAACAAUAUUUAUACUCCUGAAAUAUGUAAACCCUUUGUAUAAAGGCAAGAUUAACUUUUCUCUAUGAAGUGAUAAAAUAAGAAUGUAUAGAUCAUAUCCCUAGGCUGACUCUGUGAACUAUUUAAAAAUAUGCAGGGGCAGGUGUUUAGUGCAGUGAUUAAGACAUUGCUUGGGACAACCUUACCCCAUAUCAAAGGGCCUGAGUUUGAGUCCCAGCUUCACUUCCAAUUUCAGCUUCCUGCUAAUAUGCGCCCUGGGAAGCAGCAGGUGAUGGCUGUGGUGUAGUGAGUAAAGCUACUGCCUGCAGUGCCGGCAUCCCAUAUGGGUGCUGGUUCGAGACCCGGCUGCUCCACUUCUGAUCCAGCUCUCUGCUAUGGCUUGGGAA